rnacentral:rRNA from 1 species
AUUGAACGCUGGCGGCAUGCUUUACACAUGCGAGUCGAACGGCAGCGCGGGCUUCGGCCUGGCGGCGAGUGGCGAACGGGUGAGUAAUGCAUCGGAACGUGCCCAGUAGUGGGGGAUAGCCCGGCGAAAGCCGGAUUAAUACCGCAUACGACCUGAGGGUGAAAGCGGGGGACCGAAAGGCCUCGCGCUAUUGGAGCGGCCGAUGUCGGAUUAGCUAGUUGGUGGGGUAAAGGCUUACCAAGGCGACGAUCCGUAGCUGGUCUGAGAGGACGACCAGCCACACUGGGACUGAGACACGGCCCAGACUCCUACGGGAGGCAGCAGUGGGGAAUGUUGGACAAUGGGGGCAACCCUGAUCCAGCCAUGCCGCGUGCGGGAAGAAGGCCUUCGGGUUGUAAACCGCUUUUGUUCGGGAAGAACUCCUCUGGGCUAAUACCCCGGGGGGAUGACGGUACCGGAAGAAUAAGCACCGGCUAACUACGUG